rnacentral:rRNA from 1 species
ACGAACGCUGGCGGCCUGCCUAACACCUGCAAGUCGAACGCGACCUUUGGGUCUAGUGGCGCACGGGUGCGUAACGCGUGGGAAUCUGCCCUUGGGUUCGGAAUAACAGUGAGAAAUUGCUGCUAAUACCGGAUGAUGUCUUCGGACCAAAGAUUUAUCGCCCAGGGAUGAGCCCGCGUAGGAUUAGCUAGUUGGUGGGGUAAUGGCCUACCAAGGCGACGAUCCUUAGCUGGUCUGAGAGGAUGAUCAGCCACACUGGGACUGAGACACGGCCCAGACUCCUACGGGAGGCAGCAGUGUGGAAUAUUGGACAAUGGGCGCAAGCCUGAGCCAGCAAUGCCGCGUGAGUGAUGAAGGCCUUAGGGUUGUAAAGCUCUUUUACCAGGGAUGAUAAGGACAGUACCUGGAGAAUAAGCGCCGGCUAACUCCGU